rnacentral:tRNA from 1 species
AAUAAAGCUUAGGAGUUAGGCGUCCCCCUUACACUGGGGAGGAUUUCUGUGCAAUCCAGAUUGUUUUGAAGG